rnacentral:lncRNA from 1 species
UGCAUUUUACAACCUCGUAAACUGUAUGAGCCCCUAUUUUUACGCUUAUACCUAAGAUAUCAAAUAAAAAUACAUGAAACAGAGAACAUUUUUAGAAAGUUUUAUCGUGAGGCCACGGCCAGUUUUUAAAAUAUCUUUAUUUCUGUUCCGGUCAUCACCAAAAUUACACUAAAGCCGGACUUGAAUAUACAACAAAUUUUGAAUCUCAUCAAGUACAAAAAUAUUUAACGUGUAACCAAAAUAUGCUCAUGAAAACGAAAUUAAUAGCUAAAUUUUCAAACUAGACCCUUCUCGAGCCGGUUUUCAUGAAGGAAGUUCACAUUUCGGCCUUUGAUUCUUGGCAAAAAUUUGACCGCAACACGUGCGAAGCAACUGGGUCUCAAAGACUCAGCUAAAACAUUGUGAGCCCCUAUUUUCCCGACGAUAUGUUUGAUACCUACAAACGCCGAAAACUUUUUUCUUUUCAUUUAGCUAUAUUUAAAAUUGAGGCCACGGGCUAUUUUUGAGAAAAUACAGUUCAAAGUCAAGCUAUUUUUACAUAUUUUCAAAAUUUGUCAAAUUUCGCGAACUUGUAUUUUGAACUUAGACAGCUGAAGUUACACUAAGAAACAUAGGAUGGAAAAUUUGAGGCAUAUAAAGUUAAUUUCAACUUACAUUUCAUUCUCAUAUUACGUCUUUCUUCGUUUAUUACGGUUUUAAACAAGCCACAGAUCGACGUAUACGGUAUUUACUCCCAUGUUCACGUCGCCAUAUUAACUUCUUCCAAUCACUCGAUUACAAAACAAAUCAUCCCAAAACAAAGAAUUCAUAGUCGACUUUUAAAAGAAUAACCGUU